AGAGUUUGAUUAUGGCUCAGGAUGAACGCUGGCGGCGUGCCUAACACAUGCAAGUCGAACGGGUGUACGGGGAGGAAGGCUUCGGCCGGAAAACCUGUGCAUGAGUGGCGGACGGGUGAGUAACGCGUGGGCAACCUGGCCUGUACAGGGGGAUAACACUUAGAAAUAGGUGCUAAUACCGCAUAACGGGGGAAGCCGCAUGGCUUUUCCCUGAAAACUCCGGUGGUACAGGAUGGGCCCGCGUCUGAUUAGCCAGUUGGCAGGGUAACGGCCUACCAAAGCGACGAUCAGUAGCCGGCCUGAGAGGGCGGACGGCCACACUGGGACUGAGACACGGCCCAGACUCCUACGGGAGGCAGCAGUGGGGGAUAUUGCACAAUGGGGGGAACCCUGAUGCANCGACGCCGCGUGGGUGAAGAAGCGCCUCGGCGCGUAAAGCCCUGUC
rnacentral:rRNA from 1 species